CAUGAUAUCUUGCCAAAUCAUAAAAUUGUAUUACCAAUUUAACCAGUGCUAUUUCUUUAAUGAGGUAUAAAAUUUGUGGCCUCGGUCCAUGUAUCAUGCCAUGUAAGUAAAUAAAAAUAUUUUUUUGAUUCCACAUAAUAUCUUGUCAAAUCAUGAUAUUGCAUUACCAAUUUUACCAUUUCAACUUCGUUUUAGAUUUUAAGAAAGGGUGAAUCUAUGAUAUAUAUUAAUGUAUUUUUUUCGAGGAAGGACGUACGGCCUUAUAUUAAGUAACAAAAGAACUUAUAAAUACAUGACUUACCUCAAAAGGGUCACGUAAGAAUCAAGUUAUGAGGCUACCCUAAAGUAACCAAUUGCAAUCGCACGUAAAGAACAAAUCCAGACGAAACAAAAUAAAUCAUAUAGAAAAACAAAGUAAACUAAUUCUAGUAAACUAGCUUAUUAGAAAUCUACAAACUACAAAGACUAAGCAUACGUACAAGACAAGCACAACCCAUAACACAACACAAUGGAAGCUUAGAGAGGCCAAGCAGUCACACCGCCAUAUAUACACGAACCCUACUGAACCCCAAUGAGAUCUUGCCGUGGUCUGCACCACAGAGAUGAACACCCGUGAUCACAACUGUCAUCAACCGCCGCUUCAAACCAGACCAGAAGGAAAGGGAAGACCCUUUAACAACCGGCGAGAUCGAGACCAACAAUCGUACGAUCGACCGCCGCAUAAAUCAGACGAGUUUGAUAUCCUCCUCUUCCUCCUCUCCUACCCGAUUGCUUGAUCUCAAUCGGCAUCCCACAAGCUGCAAGGAUAUAUGCCCGAUCGAAUCUAGCUAUGAUAUUUUAAUGAACUUUAUUUGGUGUGGAAAACAAAAAUUACGUAUUAAUAGUAGCCAUUAAUUAUGUAUAAAUUUAAAAUAUUAUUAUUAUUAUUUUUUUUUUAUGAAGGACGUGAAGUCAUUUUAUUGAUCAAAGAAAAUGUAGAAAUACAUCAUAAACACAAUCCACCCUCACGGGCAACGUGAAAAUGGAAUUAUAUAAAACGACAUAUAUGACAUAAGUUAUCUCUUAAUGAUGUAAACCCUAGAAUAGGCACUAUGAUAUAUAAACAAGAACUGUUAGAAUCAUCUAACUUGAUUGAGAACACCUAAGACCACCCUAUGCAGAAGAGGUUUCCCCAAGGUCCAACUCAACAGGAGAAGCUCUAAUAGUCAUUCUGUCAAUUUUGUCCGUUAGAAUACUUAUAUGGCCAUUAAUGAUAUUGCAAUUUUUAGCGGCCACAUCAACAGUCUAAUGGAGAAAAUUGAC
rnacentral:lncRNA from 1 species